GAUGAAGAACGCAGCGAAAUGCGAUACGUAAUGUGAAUUGCAGAAUUCAGUGAAUCAUCGAGUCUUUGAACGCACAUUGCGCCCCCUGGUAUUCCGGGGGGCAUGCCUGUCCGAGCGUCAUUGCUGCCCUCAAGCCCGGCUUGUGUGUUGGGUCUCGUCCCCCUUCCCGGGGGGACGGGCCCGAAAGGCAGCGGCGGCACCGCGUCCGGUCCUCGAGCGUAUGGGGCUUUGUCACCCGCUCUGUAGGCCCGGCCGGCGCUUGCCGAUCAACCAAAACUUUUUUCCAGGUUGACCUCGGAUCAGGUAGGGAUACCCGCUGAACUUAAGCAUAUCAAUAAGCGGAAGA
rnacentral:misc_RNA from 1 species